GGCGGCCUACGGGGGGCAGCAGUGAGGAAUAUUGGGCAAUGGAGGCAACUCUGACCCAGCCAUGCCGCGUGAGUGAAGAAGGUUUUCGGAUUGUAAAGCUCUUUCGGAUGUGACGAUGAUGACGGUAGCAUCUAAAGAAGCCCCGGCUAACUUCGUGCCAGCAGCCGCGGUAAUACGUAUGGAGCAAGCGUUAUCCGGAUUUACUGGGUGUAAAGGGAGCGCAGGCGGCUUUGCAAGUCUGAUGUGAAAGGCCAGGGCUCAACCCUGGGACUGCAUUGGAAACUGUAAAGCUAGAGUGCCGGAGG
rnacentral:rRNA from 1 species